AUGCGGGCAGGGUCGGUAGUGGAUGGAGGCUCGCCGCCCGGAGCAGCAGGAGCAAGGAGGACGAUUUGGUUCAGAUAUUUGACUGCAUUACUGAAUCUUCUAGGGUUCGAGCAGCAGCUGAGCUUAGAUCGAAUCAUGUAUAUAUUUGCAGGGCAAGACAGGCACAUUAUUUGGAUCAUGAACUUACAGGAUGGUUUCCCCCGCCACAACCAUUGUAAUCAUCCUGCAUUCCCCCGUCAAGCGUGCAUCGGUGCUGGAUAUGCAAGCUGCAAUAGCACAUCAACGGGCAGGCAAGAGCAAGAAGAUGGUCACGAUUUUUGCCAAGCAGUGGAAGACAAUGUUAACUGA
rnacentral:rRNA from 1 species